rnacentral:tRNA from 1 species
AUAGUUUGUGUUUGACUAAACAAAA